rnacentral:rRNA from 1 species
UACGAAGGGGGCUAGCGUUGCUCGGAAUCACUGGGCGUAAAGGGUGCGUAGGCGGGUCUUUAAGUCAGGGGUGAAAUCCUGGAGCUCAACUCCAGAACUGCCUUUGAUACUGAGGAUCUUGAGUUCGGGAGAGGUGAGUGGAACUGCGAGUGUAGAGGUGAAAUUCGUAGAUAUUGGGAGGAACACCGGUGGCGAAGGCGGCCCUCUGGACCGAAACUGACACUGGAAGCGCGAAAGCUAGGGGAGCAAACGGG